rnacentral:lncRNA from 1 species
ACAUAGCAUGAAUUUACUGCCUCGUUGACCUAUGGGGCAGUCAACACUACUAAAAAAUCACCCUAAUGCCACGACAGAUAUUGCAACAACAAUAUUUUUGUUGCAUUAGAUUUUAUUUAUUGCCACGACCUUUAAAAGUGGUUGCAAUAUAUGGACCGUUUUGCCACUUUUUUGUGCAUUGCGAUAACCAUGACUUUCGUUGCAAGAGAAAGGUGUUAUUGCGACCACUAGAACAGUUGUUGCAAAAUCACCCUAAUGCCAUGACAUAUAUUGCAACAACAAUAUUUUUGUUGCAUUUGAUAUUAUUUAUUGCCACGACCUUUAAAAGUGGUUGCAAUAUAUGGACCGUUUCACCAUUUUUUUGUGCAUUGCGAUAACCAUGACUUUCAUUGCAAGAGAAAGGUGUUAUUGCGACCACUAGAACAGUUGUUGCAAAAUUACUCUAGUGUCACACCGGAUAUUGAAACAACAAUAAAGUUGUAGCAUUAGGUGUUACUUAUUGCCACAGCCUUUAAAAGUGGUUGCAAUUUAUGCACCUUUUUUGCCACUUUACUUGUGCGUUGCAAUAAUCAUGACUUUCGUAGCAAGAGAAAGAUGUUAUUGCUACCACUAGAAUAGUUGUUGCAAAAUGUCCCUAGUGGCUCACUAGAUAUUACAAUAUUAGUAAAGUUGUAGCAUUACGUGUUAGUUAUUGCCACAGCCUUUAAAAGUGGUUGCAAUAUAUGCAUCUUUUUGCCACUUUAUUUGUGCGUUGCAAUAAUCAUGACUUUCGUUGCAAGAGAAAGAUGUUAUUGCUAUCACUAGAACAGUUGUUGCAAAAUGUCCCUAGUGGCUCACUGGAUAUUACAACAUCAGUAAAGUGGUAGCAUUAGUAGCAGUGUAGAGCGAGACGCGACAUGUGUGUAGAAUUCUUUUUUUCAUCCAAACCGACUGGGCGUGCAGGGAGGGUGAGGCCACCCUGUGUCAUAUACUCUCAUGUCUGCGCAAGGCCAAGGAAAUCGUAGUAUAUACGGACCUACCGCGCGCGACAUGUCUAAGCCGUGAUCCAACUUUGCGUUCUGUGUCUGGAUCGCGAUGGGAAAUAUAUUCAAUUUAUUGAUACAUUACAAGAAAAAUACAAAGAACAAUCUAGAAGUUUCUGUUCUCUCAGACACACAUCAAUAAAACACGCAGGUGAAUAAAAUACAAUUUUUAUUUCUUUUGUAGUUGUGCAUGCAAUGGAUUUUAGUAGCCUAAACAGAUUUUAGUUAACCAUAGGAGCAGUACACAUGUUUGUGGCUCUAUGCAGCAUGCUUAUUUGGUAGCUUGUUUUCGCUCUUGUUAGGCUGGUGCUGCAGCUGCCUUCUCUGGUAGAGAUAGAGUAGAACGCUUGCUGCUACGUGCUUCCUGUUUGCUGCGUGCUACUGUUUGUUGAUUGCCGCUGCUAGCUGCGUGCUGCUGCAUGUUGUUGCUGAUGCUUACUGAUGCUGCUUGCUAGGAGUUGUGCUAUAGCUGUAGCUGUAGGCACUACAGUUGUAGUCUUCCACUAAUGAUUAACCAAGUUAUUGUAGCUUUACUAAUUAUUGUUUUGAACACUUCCAACAAGUUCCUUGUCGUCGUGAUAUCGUCGUCAGCCUAGCUAACCAUCGCUCGCAUCAAUGGAGGGGGUGGAGGGGUACACGAUGGCAAAAAAACUUCCAAUAAUUUGCUAGUCCUGAGUAGUUUAUUAUCUAUGUUAUCACAAUCCAAGCUAGUAUGAGGAUGUUGUGAUUGUGAGCUAUGUUAUCAAAUUAAUUUGUAUUUGGCCACUAUUUAUUUGGUGCAACCUAUUUGUUACAACUUAUGGUAUGUAUAUAGUUAAUAUAUGAGACAAGAGACAAAUAUUAUGGUUUUCAAUUUUGAUUCUGGCGUUACUGAUGUAAAAUAUAAUUCUUUUGCAUAACAUUUUAUACCCAAUAGAAAUGCAAAAUGCAUUGUCGUAUAAAUUGUGGGUUUGAAUAUAUGUAAAUGCAACGGUUUUAUUGGUUGUUGUAUGGUUCAGUUGCAAUGAUUUUUUUGUUGCAAUAAGAUGUAAUUACCAUGGAUCUAUUUCGUUGGGACUUCAGUAGUCGCAACAUUUUCUUCUUGUUGCAACAUCAUUAGUUACGAUAUUUUUUGUUGUUGUUAUAACGGUUCUUACCACAAAUAUUUUUUAUAGCAAAAAGGUCAUGUAGCCACAAGACACAUUAUGUUGCAAAAUGAUCAAAUGCAACGAAAUUAUUUGCAUGGCAAUACAUCUUGUUGCCACGAGUCACUUGUGUGGCACUAGUGUUUUGUUGCCACGAAGCAUCUUGUGGUAACAAAGCCAUUUGCAACAGAUUUAAACGUGGCAUUAACACUUAUUACCAUGAAAUAUGUUGUGGCAAUAGAGUUUUUAGCAACUAGCGUAACUGUUGCAAUAUAACUUAUUGCAACAGAAUAGUCUAUUGUAACAACGAACUACUGCAACACUUGAAUACGUUGCAAAAGAUGUAGUAAUUGCAACAGAACGUAAAAUUGUUGCUAUAGCCUAUUGCCACUCUGUUUUCUGCAACAGCAGGCAACGACAGUUGUUCUAUCGCAAUUGGUGCCUAUCGCAACGAUUUAUGGUCUAUCGCAACGAUUUAUGCCCAUUGCAACAAGGUGAUUUUUUAGUAGUGCAAAUUUGCUCAAGCUAUGGGGCCUUCAGUUGAUGCUGAAGAUAUUGAAUGUAUGAAGGGAUUAUUUCACUAGUUGUAUGUUCAUCUAAAGGGAUGGUUACAUUAUCUCAAGGAUGAAAUUUGUGCUUCAUGUGACUUGAUUUCCCAUCAGUUUCAAAUAGUGAUAAUUAGAAUACAACAGAAAAAUAGCUCUUUCUGCAAAUUUUUCAUCAUCCAUAAUUGUAAGUUGUGAAGACCGAUGGACUUUUUGAUGCUUCAAGUUGGAGUUACACAAUAUAAUAAGAUUCUGCCAGUGAGGCGUU